AGCGAACGCUGGCGGCAGGCCUAACACAUGCAAGUCGAACGGAUCCUUCGGGAUUAGUGGCGGACGGGUGAGUAACACGUGGGAACGUGCCCUUUGGUCCGGAACAACUCAGGGAAACUUGAGCUAAUACCGGAUGUGCCCUUCGGGGGAAAGAUUUAUCGCCAUUGGAGCGGCCCGCGUCUGAUUAGCUAGUUGGUGAGGUAACGGCCCACCAAGGCGACGAUCAGUAGCUGGUCUGAGAGGAUGAUCAGCCACACUGGGACUGAGACACGGCCCAGACUCCUACGGGAGGCAGCAGUGGGGAAUCUUGCGCAAUGGGCGAAAGCAUGACGCAGCCAUGCCGCGUGAAUGGUGAAGGUCUUAGGACUGUAAAAUUCUUUCAGCGGGGACGAUAAUGACGGUACCCGCAGAAGAAGCUCCGGCUAACUUCGUG
rnacentral:rRNA from 1 species